CCUACGGGGGCUGCAGUGGGGAAUAUUGGACAAUGGGCGAAAGCCUGAUCCAGCCAUGCCGCGUGUGUGAAGAAGGCCUUCGGGUUGUAAAGCACUUUCAGUGGGGAAGAAAGCCUUGGGGCUAAUACCCUCGAGGAAGGACAUCACCCACAGAAGAAGCACCGGCUAACUCCGUGCCAGCAGCCGCGGUAAUACGGAGGGUGCGAGCGUUAAUCGGAAUUAUUGGGCGUAAAGCGCGCGUAGGCGGUCUGAUAAGCCGGUUGUGAAAGCCCCGGGCUCAACCUGGGAACGGCAUCCGGAACUGUCAGGCUAGAGUGCAGGAGAGGAAGGUAGAAUUCCCGGUGUAGCGGUGAAAUGCGUAGAGAUCGGGAGGAAUACCAGUGGCGAAGGCGGCCUUCUGGACUGACACUGACGCUGAGGUGCGAAAGCGUGGGUAGCAAACAGGAUUAGAUACCCGGGUAGUC
rnacentral:rRNA from 1 species